GUGCUUGCUUCAGCAGCACAAUAUAUGAAAAUUGGAACAAUACAGAGAUUAGCAUGGCCUCUACACAAAGAUGACACACAAAUUCAUAAAGUAUUCCAUAUUUUU